rnacentral:lncRNA from 1 species
UCAAGAAAACCUUCAUACAUAGGAGGCCAUGAAUCUAAGUAAUGGUAGAUAUCAUAUGUCCAGAGAAUUAUCCUUGGUUGAUCCAAUAGACCCCAAAAAAAUGAGAAGAUUACUAUCAUGUUCCUUCUAAUGGUGAGUCUUCUCUUGACAUAUAACUAUCUCCACUAUCUCCAGUUGAAAAUUAUAUUUCAAAUAAACUCCAAGAUCAUAUAGGUAGUGCUCGUAGAUAUACUCAGCAAGUUGAUGUGCACAACCCUGUCUUAUGAUAACUCGUACGUCAUUAGACAUCUUGUAUGAUA